rnacentral:rRNA from 1 species
UACGUAGGUGGCGAGCGUUGUCCGGAUUUACUGGGCGUAAAGGGAGCGUAGGCGGACUUUUAAGUGAGAUGUGAAAUACUCGGGCUCAACUUGAGUGCUGCAUUUCAAACUGGAAGUCUAGAGUGCAGGAGAGGAGAAUGGAAUUCCUAGUGUAGCGGUGAAAUGCGUAGAGAUUAGGAAGAACACCAGUGGCGAAGGCGAUUCUCUGGACUGUGACUGACGCUGAGGCUCGAAAGCGUGGGGAGCAGACAGG